ACCCCAAGUGGGAACCAGGAGGUGCCCAGGCCAAGACCUCCGGGAGGGCUGCUCCCAACUGGGGGGAUAGGCAGGGCCCUUAGAGCCAGCGCGCCGUCCUGGGGCUGCUUUCUAGGGCUGGAACGUCAUGGGAUCAGGCUCUCUUGUGAAUGAUGCAAAAUCCCCACAUCAAGUCCAGAGCACGGGGGCUUGGAGCAGGGGACACCCAGUGGGGCAGAGGGGAGGUUCUGAGUUUCCAGCCGAGACAGAAAACACAUUUCCUGCCUGGGCCCCAGCAGCACCCACGGCUGAUUUGUCCUAGGGCCGUUGCAGACUCCCCUCCCUAUGCUCAGAGGCCAAAAAGGAAAAAGGACCCCCGGCCUCAGCCCAGGGCGUUUGGGGCAGUCCCUGCCCUGUGUGGGGAUCCGCUGUGUGCUUCUGGUAUCUGCAAACCUGGAUGGGUUUCUUAUUUUGACAGAUGUUGCUUUAGGUCUUUUUUACAUUAAAUUUCUUUUCUCCGAGGAAUAAAUGAUUUCAGUGCAGCCGGAAGACCCUGGGAACAGAUCUGGUCUGUACUGUUUUGUUUGUGCCCACACUGUCUAAGGUACGCCCUGUCUUUUGCAGAAAUGGGAGCAGAUCGAGGGCAACUCCAAGCUGCGGCACGUGGGCAGCAACCUGUGCCUGGACAGCCGCGCGGCCAAGAGCGGCGGCCUGAGCGUGGAGGUGUGCGGCCCGGCGCUGUCGCAGCAGUGGAAGUUCUCGCUCAACCUGCAGCCGUAGGCGGCCCGGAGGGGAGGCCCCUGCCACCCUGCCUCCCGCGCCACGCGGCGGAGUUCGGUGAUCACAUUAUCGAUUAUGUUUCUUAAACUUUCCGCGAAACUAUAUACCUCAGUAUUCCAUCAUGGUCUGAAAGUCGGAGAACUUAAGCAAGGCACGAGGGGACCGUGCAGACACAAGCAGCGGCGAGAGACGCGACCAGGGUCCCUUCCUGCAGCUGGAGCCGCCCCCUGCUCCUGGCUCCCGCCUCCCGCCAGCCCGCAGCUGAGCAAUCAGUGUGCCCGCCGUGGCCGUGGCCGUGGCCGAGGGGCGGCAGAGAAGCCACGGAAGGCCGUGCGUGUCGGAGGACGGGGGGCCGAGACGGGGUGCGAGUGCCCUGUCGUCGCAGCCAGGAGAACUCUUCCGAAAUCUCCAUUUUUCGAUCCCAUCGAGAUCGUGUCUGGUUUCCACAAAGCGGAAUCGCGUCAUUUUGCAGGUUUACGUUGGUAGCGCCUUUUUCUCUGCUCCUCCGUCCCCAGCCGUCGUCCUGGCCCAGACUCCCCCCUCCCACCCGAUGUCCCUGCUCUAUUUGAAUAUGAACUUUUCUAUGGUGGGACACUAAAUAUAAAUCUAUAUAAAGAAAGAAUGUACGGUCA